CCUACGGGGGGCUGCAGUGAGGAAUAUUGGUCAAUGGACGAGAGUCUGAACCAGCCAAGUCGCGUGAAGGAUGACUGCCCUAUGGGUUGUAAACUUCUUUUAUAUAGGAAUAAAAUGUUCCACGUGUGGGAUUUUGUAUGUACUAUAUGAAUAAGGAUCGGCUAACUCCGUGCCAGCAGCCGCGGUAAUACGGAGGAUCCGAGCGUUAUCCGGAUUUAUUGGGUUUAAAGGGAGCGUAGGUGGAUUGUUAAGUCAGUUGUGAAAGUUUGCGGCUCAACCGUAAAAUUGCAGUUGAUACUGGCAGUCUUGAGUACAGUAGAGGUGGGCGGAAUUCGUGGUGUAGCGGUGAAAUGCUUAGAUAUCACGAAGAACUCCGAUUGCGAAGGCAGUUUACUAAACUGCAACUGACACUGAGGCUCGAAAGUGUGGGUAGCAAACAGGAUUAGAUACCCGAGUAGUC
rnacentral:rRNA from 1 species